CCUACGGGUGGCAGCAGUGGGGAAUAUUGGGCAAUGGAGGAAACUCUGACCCAGCAACGCCGCGUGAAUGAUGAAGGUCUUCGGAUUGUAAAGUUCUUUUCUAAGGGAAGAAGAAAGUGACGGUCCCUUAGUAAUAAGCCUCUGCUACCUACGUGCCAGCAGCCGCGGUAAUACGUAGGAGGCAAGCGUUAUCCGGAAGGACUGGGCGUAAAGGGUGCGUAGGUGGUUUGACAAGUUGGUAGCGUAACUCCGAGGCUUAACCUCGGCACUACUACCAAAACUGUUGGACUCGAGUGCAGGAGGGGCAAAUGGAAUUCCUAGUGUAGCGGUGGAAUGCGUAGAUAUUAGGAGGAACACCAGUGGCGAAGGCGAUUUGCUGGACUGUAACUGACACUGAGGCACGAAAGCGUGGGGAGCAAACAGGAUUAGAUACCCUAGUAGUC
rnacentral:rRNA from 1 species